rnacentral:tRNA from 1 species
GCUCCAGUGGCGCAAUCGGUUAGCGCGCGGUACUUAUAUGGCAGUACAACUCGUGAGCAAUGCCGAGGUUGUGAGUUCGAGCCUCACCUGGAGCA